GGCAAAGACAGCAGCUGGCUCUCGCGCACGCGAUUUGUUUUGCAAUUGCAAGGCCAGCGCACCUGAUAAGAGGCGCGCGCCGGUUCCCUCCCUUACAGUGCCCGGCGGGAGUCAAAGGACAAGGUUCUUCUGGGUGGGACGCGGUUACAUAAACAGUCACGACCGCUCCAAAUCUCUCUUCAUAAGGAGCAGCGUCUGCAUCGUUUGGAGGGCCUCUCUUAAAGAAGGAAGAAUAGCGAGGAUGCACAAUGGACUUGCGUUCACCCCUUGUUAGGCUUAUAGCAUUGCAGCGUUAAGAUCACAGCGGCUCUCCAUGUCGGGCUGCCGUCUGUUAAUAGAGAAAGCCUCUGUGCCUUUAAAGGGGCAGCUGCUAAGUCAAGGCUGCAGGCCAGGGCAGGGUUGCUGCAAAGCUUUUAGUGUGACCAUCUCGCCUCGCCCUAGUCACCGCCUCCUGUCCCGCUCGGCCCCAAUCUCCCCCCCCCCCCCCCGAGGCCCUGCUGCAGCGGGAGUUGUAGUGCAACAGUAUUUGGGGGGCCGAGGUUUGAGAGCCCCAAGCCGGACUCGGAGGGACAGAGGUUGCUGCUGCUUUCACUCAUUCACGUUCCCUCAGGUUGAGCGAGCUUUAUUAGGUCUGUUUCUCCGCGCUUUCUCUUGCUCAUUCGUCCUGGACAUUUUCACUGGGCCUUUCUGUCCUAUUUUCCCGGCUGCCUUGUCCCAAGAGAAAGGAAAGGAAAGCACCACCAUCUCAUUCAUGCAUGGAGACCCCAUCAGCUCUGCCUGUCUCACUGACCUGCUUGUGAUAAAGGAGACACCCAGCAUGAGGAGAAGAUGGUGACUUUAUCUUUGAGAUGCUAAUUAUUCCUUCUGGAUGGACCCUUUGGUAGACAAAGGUUAUGCAGCUGCUCAGACUCUUGACAGGAAAAAAGGUUUCACCUUGACAGAAUAGAAAUGGAUAAACGAGUCCUGAAGUACUUCUAAUAAGCCGUAUUAAAGAACUUAAGACAAUGUUACUCUCUCACCUAGUGAAGCACUCUUCCAGUGAGGGGAUGGAGAACCAGAAUAUUAUACUACUUCUUUAGCAGUUCAAGGUUUGGCUGAUAAUGAUGCUUAAAAUUCCAUGCACUUCCAAGUGCCAUUAGUUGAGGUAACCCAUUUCUCCCUAUUGGAGGUUUAAAAGUCUGAUCUGAUUCAUAGAGAUGUAAUGUCAUUUUAGGUUUGACCACAGUUGUAGCAAGGUAACAUAAGCACAAUAAUAAGCAAACACAGCAAAAGAAUACUGGCAUUAUGACUAAUUGGAUUUUUUUUAUUUUUUACAUGUUACUGUUGCAUAACAUAUAUUGUAUAAAGUAUUUUAGUCUUUUAAAAAUGUGUUAGGU